AUCAACAUCAAAGGACAAAAAUAAUAAGAAACAAAGACAGAAAGAAAGAGGAAUGAACACUUCUCUGCUGAGUGGCUAAUCAGUGCGCCUAUCUCCAUGGGCUGCCAUUGCCCUCACUUACUGAUAACUCGACGUUAUCGCCGACACAGCUCACCUCCGUUGCUAAAAUCAACUGCCGUACUUGUGGUAGACAGCCGGAUAUGUUUGUGCGGUGCUUCAGCAGCUGAGACUUCCUGGUCCUUGUGGCAUCGACAUCAUUGCUGUACUGAACACCGCAGCAUAGCAUAUAGCGUUCUUCCGCUCAACAUGCAAGUGGCGAAACGAGUACAAGCGAUGCAACAGCCGAUGAGGAUGGAGUUUUCAUCUCUUGGUGAGGAAAGCGAUAUUGUGAACUUGAGUCCCGGAUUUCCUGACUACCCACCACCGGUGUUCCUUCUCAACGCACUCCAGGACGCCAUCGCCAGCAAUAGCUUCCAUCAGUACACUCGCGGAUCCGGUCAUCCGCGGCUAGUCAAUGCCUUGUCCCAGAUGUACUCUCGCUUAAUCGGUCGAAAGAUUGACCCAGAAAAUGAGGUGCUGGUGACAGUCGGUGCCAUGGAAGCACUUUACGCAGUGUUCCUCGGUCUAGUCAACCCUGGGGAAGAGGUGAUCAUCAUCGAGCCCUUCUUCCCCUCAUAUGAGCCGCAGACAUUGUCGGCAGGAGGAGUGCCAGUUUUCGUCUCCCUCCGCCCUCGUAAGGAAGGCCUAAUUUCAAGUGCCGACUGGGUUCUGGAUCCGAGGGAGCUCGCUUCCAAGUUCAAUUUUAAGACCAAGAUAAUUGUCAUCAACAAUCCACACAAUCCACUCGGGAAGGUUUUCUCCCAGGAAGAGCUAGAAAUGAUUGCGGACCUCUGCAGGACGCACAAUGUUAUCUGUGUAAUGGAUGAAGUUUACGAAUGGAUACUUUACGAUGGAAUCGAGCAUAUUAGAAUGAACACGCUUCCUGGUAUGUGGGAAAGGACUAUAACUUUAGGAAGUGCCGGGAAAGCAUGCGGCGCUACUGGCUGGAGGGUAGGCUGGGCUUAUGGCCCUGAGCACCUGCUUAAAGGACUACGAAGGAUACACGAGAACUGCAUCUGCACAGUCAGCACUCUAAUGCAGCAUCAAAACUGGAGGUACAAGGCAAUGAAGACGAAGGUCACCUCCUCACACAAUGGUUGUGCAGAAAAAAGAAGCUGAUGGUCACUCCUGGUAGUGCGUUCUAUAGUGAGGAUGCCCAACUCCUUGCUAAGGAUUUCAUACGAAUUUGUUAUGCGAAGGACGAUACAACUCUUCUGAAAGCUGCUGCUAUACUGGAAGGACUGAAGACGAUGUUGAGUAGAAAUUAGAGCACACCAAGGAGUGUGAGUGCAAAAUGUCGCUUGCAAAUGACAGCAACUCAAAGCUCAUUAGUAAGGAACAUGAUUGAUUUCCAGCAUUUCUGAGUUUUCUCGUGGCGGCUGCACUUUGAAAUGUUAUUACACUUGUCACCGGUGUGUUAACUAUAAUUAAAGUGGCUGUGGUGAA
rnacentral:misc_RNA from 1 species